GACGAACGCUGGCGGCGUGCUUAACACAUGCCAGUCGAACGGAAAGGCCCUGCUUUUGUGGGGUGCUCGAGUGGCGAACGGGUGAGUAACACGUGAGUAACCUGCCCUUGACUUUGGGAUAACUUCAGGAAACUGGGGCUAAUACCGGAUAGGAGCUCCUGCUGCAUGGUGGGGGUUGGAAAGUUUCGGCGGUUGGGGAUGGACUCGCGGCUUAUCAGCUUGUUGGUGGGGUAGUGGCUUACCAAGGCUUUGACGGGUAGCCGGCCUGAGAGGGUGACCGGCCACAUUGGGACUGAGAUACGGCCCAGACUCCUACGGGAGGCAGCAGUGGGGAAUAUUGCACAAGGGGCGGAAGCCUGAUGCAGCAACGCCGCGUGCGGGAUGACGGCCUUCGGGUGGGAAACCGCUUUCGCCUGUGACGAAGCGUGAGUGACGGUAAUGGGGAAAGAAGCACCGGCUAACUACGU
rnacentral:rRNA from 1 species